UACAGAGGUCUCAAGCGUUGUUCGGAUUCAUUGGGCGUAAAGGGUGCGUAGGCGGCGCAACAAGUCAGGCGUGAAAGCCCCGGGCUCAACCUGGGAGGUGCGCUUGGGACUGUUGUGCUUGAGUUCGGGAGAGGAGAGUGGAAUUCCCAGUGUAGAGGUGAAAUUCGUAGAUAUUGGGAAGAACACCGGUGGCGAAGGCGGCUCUCUGGACCGAGACUGACGCUGAGGCGCGAAAGCGUGGGGGAGCAAACAGGG
rnacentral:rRNA from 1 species